rnacentral:lncRNA from 1 species
CCUUCUUGUUCGGUGAAAGUGCACGAACGGCUCGGUGUUCGGUAGUUUUGCUUGAAUGUGUUAUACCCCAGAUAGGAAUCCCAUGGAGCCCAUUCGCAUGAAACUGACUGUGUAAAGACUUUGGCUCCAUGGCGAUUAAACUGUAUUCGUGUGGUCUGAGCGCCUUAAUAAUGUGCGCUCGGACCUGAGCUAUCUGGGGAUAU